rnacentral:rRNA from 1 species
UACGUAGGGUGCGAGCGUUAAUCGGAAUUAUUGGGCGUAAAGCGUGCGCAGGCGGAAAUAUAAGACAGAUGUGAAAUCCUUGGGCUUAACCUGAGAACUGCAUUUGUGACUGUAUAUCUUGAGUGUAUUAGAGGGGGGUAGAAUUCCACGUGUAGCAGUGAAAUGCGUAGAGAUGUGGAGGAAUACCGAUGGCGAAGGCAGCCCCCUGGAGUACAACUGACGCUCAUGCACGAAAGCGUGGGGAGCAAACAUG